rnacentral:tRNA from 1 species
GCCGAAGUGGCGGAAUGGUAGACGCGGCGGUCUCAAAAACCGUUGCCCUUUAUCGGGCGUGUCGGUUCGACUCCGACCUUCGGCACCA